rnacentral:rRNA from 1 species
UANAGUUUGAUCCUUGGCUCAGUAGUGAACGCUGGCGGUAGGCCUAACACAUGCAAGUCGAACGGCAGCACAGGAGAGCUUGCUCUCUGUGGUGGCGAGUGGCGGACGGGUGAGGAAUACAUCGGAAUCUACUCUGUCGUGGGGGAUAACGUAGGGAAACUUACGCUAAUACCGCAUACGACCUACGGGUGAAAGCAGGGGAUCUUCGGACCUUGCGCGAUUGAAUGAGCCGAUGUCGGAUUAGCUAGUUGGCGGGGUAAAGGCCCACCAAGGCGACGAUCCGUAGCUGGUCUGAUUAUGAUGAUCAGCCACACUGGAACUGAGACAUGGUCCAGACUCCUACGGGAGGCAGCAGUGGGGAAUAUUGGACAAUGGGCGCAAGCCUGAUCCAGCCAUACCGCGUGGGUAAAGAAGGCCUUCGGUGUUGUAAAGCCCUUUUGUUGGGAAAGAAAUCCAGCUGGCUAAUACCUGGUUGGGAUGACGGUACCCGANAAGAAUAAGCACCGGCUAACUUCGUGCCAGCAGCCUGCGGUAAUACGAAGGGUGCAAGCGUUACUCGG